GCUCCGGUUGCCUAUUGGUUAGAGCGUCCACCUCUGAUUUGGGUUGCCGUGGGUUCGAACCCCAGCCGAUACA